UACGUAGUUAGCCGUGACUUUCUGGUUGAUUACCGUCAAAUAAAGACCAGUUACUGCCUCUAUCCUUCUUCACCAACAACAGAGCUUUACGAUCCGAAAACCUUCUUCACUCACGCGGCGUUGCUCCAUCAGACUUGCGUCCAUUGUGGAAGAUUCCCUACUGCUGCCUCCCGUAGGAGUUUGGGCCGUGUCUCAGUCCCAAUGUGGCCGAUCAGUCUCUCAACUCGGCUACGCAUCAUUGCCUUGGUAGGCCUUUACCCCACCAACUAGCUAAUGCGCCGCGGGCUCAUCCUAAAGUGACAGCUUACGCCGCCUUUCAACUUGAAUCAUGCGAUUCAUGUUGUUAUCCGGUAUUAGCACCUGUUUCCAAGUGGUAUCCCAGUCUUUAGGGCAGAUUGCCCACGUGUUACUCACCCAUCCCGCCGCUAGCGUCCAACAAAUCACCCCGAAGGGAUCUUGAAUUCAGCUCGCUCGACUUGCAUGUAUUAGGCACGCCGCCG
rnacentral:rRNA from 1 species